rnacentral:rRNA from 1 species
UUAAGUUAUUAAGGGCGCACGGUGGAUGCCUUGGCACUAGAAGCCGAUGAAGGACGUUACUAACGACGAUAUGCUUUGGGGAGCUGUAAGUAAGCUUUGAUCCAGAGAUUUCCGAAUGGGGAAACCCAGCAUGAGUUAUGUCAUGUUAUCGAUAUGUGAAUACAUAGCAUAUCAGAAGGCACACCCGGAGAACUGAAACAUCUUAGUACCCGGAGGAAGAGAAAGAAAAUUCGAUUCCCUUAGUAGCGGCGAGCGAAACGGGAAGAGCCCAAACCAACAAGCUUGCUUGUUGGGGUUGUAGGACACUCUAUACGGAGUUACAAAGGACGACAUUAGACGAAUCAUCUGGAAAGAUGAAUCAAAGAAGGUAAUAAUCCUGUAGUCGAAAAUGUUGUCUCUCUUGAGUGGAUCCUGAGUACGACGGAGCACGUGAAAUUCCGUCGGAAUCUGGGAGGACCAUCUCCUAAGGCUAAAUACUCUCUAGUGACCGAUAGUGAACCAGUACCGUGAGGGAAAGGUGAAAAGCACCCCGGAAGGGGAGUGAAAUAGAACCUGAAACCGUGUGCUUACAAGUAGUCAGAGCCCGUUAAUGGGUGAUGGCGUGCCUUUUGUAGAAUGAACCGGCGAGUUACGAUUUGAUGCAAGGUUAAGCAGUAAAUGUGGAGCCGUAGCGAAAGCGAGUCUGAAUAGGGCGUUUAGUAUUUGGUCGUAGACCCGAAACCAGGUGAUCUACCCUUGGUCAGGUUGAAGUUCAGGUAACACUGAAUGGAGGACCGAACCGACUUACGUUGAAAAGUGAGCGGAUGAACUGAGGGUAGCGGAGAAAUUCCAAUCGAACCUGGAGAUAGCUGGUUCUCUCCGAAAUAGCUUUAGGGCUAGCCUCAAGUGAUGAUUAUUGGAGGUAGAGCACUGUUUGGACGAGGGGCCCCUCUCGGGUUACCGAAUUCAGACAAACUCCGAAUGCCAAUUAAUUUAACUUGGGAGUCAGAACAUGGGUGAUAAGGUCCGUGUUCGAAAGGGAAACAGCCCAGACCACCAGCUAAGGUCCCAAAAUAUAUGUUAAGUGGAAAAGGAUGUGGCGUUGCCCAGACAACUAGGAUGUUGGCUUAGAAGCAGCCAUCAUUUAAAGAGUGCGUAAUAGCUCACUAGUCGAGUGACACUGCGCCGAAAAUGUACCGGGGCUAAACAUAUUACCGAAGCUGUGGAUUGUCCUUUGGACAAUGGUAGGAGAGCGUUCUAAGGGCGUUGAAGCAUGAUCGUAAGGACAUGUGGAGCGCUUAGAAGUGAGAAUGCCGGUGUGAGUAGCGAAAGACGGGUGAGAAUCCCGUCCACCGAUUGACUAAGGUUUCCAGAGGAAGGCUCGUCCGCUCUGGGUUAGUCGGGUCCUAAGCUGAGGCCGACAGGCGUAGGCGAUGGAUAACAGGUUGAUAUUCCUGUACCACCUAUAAUCGUUUUAAUCGAUGGGGGGACGCAGUAGGAUAGGCGAAGCGUGCGAUUGGAUUGCACGUCUAAGCAGUAAGGCUGAGUAUUAGGCAAAUCCGGUACUCGUUAAGGCUGAGCUGUGAUGGGGAGAAGACAUUGUGUCUUCGAGUCGUUGAUUUCACACUGCCGAGAAAAGCCUCUAGAUAGAAAAUAGGUGCCCGUACCGCAAACCGACACAGGUAGUCAAGAUGAGAAUUCUAAGGUGAGCGAGCGAACUCUCGUUAAGGAACUCGGCAAAAUGACCCCGUAACUUCGGGAGAAGGGGUGCUCUUUAGGGUUAACGCCCAGAAGAGCCGCAGUGAAUAGGCCCAAGCGACUGUUUAUCAAAAACACAGGUCUCUGCUAAACCGUAAGGUGAUGUAUAGGGGCUGACGCCUGCCCGGUGCUGGAAGGUUAAGAGGAGUGGUUAGCUUCUGCGAAGCUACGAAUCGAAGCCCCAGUAAACGGCGGCCGUAACUAUAACGGUCCUAAGGUAGCGAAAUUCCUUGUCGGGUAAGUUCCGACCCGCACGAAAGGCGUAACGAUUUGGGCACUGUCUCAACGAGAGACUCGGUGAAAUCAUAGUACCUGUGAAGAUGCAGGUUACCCGCGACAGGACGGAAAGACCCCGUGGAGCUUUACUGUAGCCUGAUAUUGAAAUUCGGCACAGCUUGUACAGGAUAGGUAGGAGCCUUUGAAACGUGAGCGCUAGCUUACGUGGAGGCGCUGGUGGGAUACUACCCUAGCUGUGUUGGCUUUCUAACCCGCACCACUUAUCGUGGUGGGAGACAGUGUCAGGCGGGCAGUUUGACUGGGGCGGUCGCCUCCUAAAAGGUAACGGAGGCGCUCAAAGG